GUGGGGAAUUUUGGACAAUGGGCGCAAGCCUGAUCCAGCAAUGCCGCGUGCAGGAAGAAGGCCUUCGGGUUGUAAACUGCUUUUGUACGGAACGAAACGGUCCGGGUUAAUACCCUGGGCUAAUGACGGUACCGUAUGAAUAAGCACCGGCUAACUACGUGCCAGCAGCCGCGGUAAUACGUAGGGUGCAAGCGUUAAUCGGAAUUACUGGGCGUAAAGCGUGCGCAGGCGGUUUUGUAAGACAGGCGUGAAAUCCCCGGGCUCAACCUGGGAAUUGCGCUUGUGACUGCAAGGCUGGAGUGCGGCAGAGGGGGAUGGAAUUCCGCGUGUAGCAGUGAAAUGCGUAGAUAUGCGGAGGAACACCGAUGGCGAAGGCAAUCCCCUGGGCCUGCACUGACGCUCAUGCACGAAAGCGUGGGGAGCAAACAGGAUUAGAAACCCGUGUAGUAC
rnacentral:rRNA from 1 species